UGUGCAAGUGAUGACAAGAUAGACAGGGAUAUUUGACUCCAUUGGAGUAUGAUGACUUGUCUUUGGGAAUCUCUCUGAUGCAUA